rnacentral:tRNA from 1 species
GCCUUCGUGGUGUAGUGGUGAGCACGCUGGAACACGUAUUCGAGAGGUCCGUGGUUCGAUUCCCGGUGACGGCA